rnacentral:rRNA from 1 species
ACUCAAAUGAAUUGACGGGGGCCCGCACAAGCGGUGGAACAUGUGGUUUAAUUCGACGCAACGCGAAGAACCUUACCUGCCCUUGACAUGCCAAGAAGUCUGCAGAGAUGUGGAUGUGCCUUCGGGAGCUUGGACACAGGUGCUGCAUGGCUGUCGUCAGCUCGUGUCGUGAGAUGUUGGGUUAAGUCCCGUAACGAGCGCAACCCUUAUCCUUAGUUACCAGCACGUUAUGGUGGGAACUCUAAGGAGACUGCCGGUGACAAACCGGAGGAAGGUGGGGAUGACGUCAAGUCCUCAUGGCCCUUAUGGGCAGGGCUACACACGUGUUACAAUGGCUGGUACAGAGAGUUGCCAACCCGCGAGGGGGAGCUAAUCUCACAAAACCAGUCUCAGUCCGGAUUGAGGUCUGCAACUCGACCCCAUGAAGCUGGAAUCGCUAGUAAUCGCGGAUCAGAACGCCGCGGUGAAUACGUUCCCGGGCCUUGUACACACCGCCCGU